ACCACAUGACUACAUGAGUACCAAAACAAACAGAAAAGAAACAAAGCAAAAUAAAAAAAAAAGAGAGAGAAGGUUUCCAGCUUCUGCAGCUCCGACGGUACAGCCACCACCUCCAUCUCCAUCGCGAGGCCGAGGCGGCCGGGCGCUACAAGAACACCGACUGCUGCGGGUUGACGACGAUGUGGCGCAGCGGGUUGGGGACCUCGCCGCCGCCGGCGUGCUCCACGAACUCGGCCGGCGUGAGGAAGCUGCCGUGGCAGACGCACACGAUCCGCACCUCCUCCCCCUUCCUGUACUUGUACAGGAACCCGUCCGUCUUGCGCCCGCCGGGGCCCUCCGCCUUGUACGACACCAUGGGCAUGUCCUCCGCCAUGGCGCUCCGGAGGUCGCCCGUGCUCGCCGUCCGCAUCGUCAGCGACCGCAGCGUGCGCAGGCGCAGCGGCAGCGGCUGCGGCUCGUCGUG
rnacentral:misc_RNA from 1 species